CCUUUACCACAACGGUGUCAUCCAUGGAUCAAAUUAUUUCGUGGAUUGGAUUUCACUUGCCUGUCUACGGUUCCCUUGCGUGUGCUCGGGAUAGGUGGUUUGUAUAAAUGUUUCGCCGUAUUAUUAAGUAUUCUCCUGCAGUUUUUUUCUCUAUCUAGAAGUGGAAUAGAAUAA
rnacentral:rRNA from 1 species